UUGCUUAUGGCAUUGUACAAAGGCCCUGUCCUUAGUUUCAUGAGAUCUUCGACCAGCCAUGCUACCCAACCUCAGAACGUGGCCAAUCCUACUGGCAACCAUUGGGUCAUAGGCACAGUGUUCCUCCUCAUUGGUUGUGCAGGCUUUUCUGCAUUUUACAUAUUACAGGUAUAUAUAUAUAUAUAUAUAUAUUGUUAAAUGCACCUUCCUACUAAUUAAGUUUCACAUAUAAUAAGAUCAAAUAUCUAUGAAUUUCCUAGCAGAAAUUAAUGAUUUGUGGUUUGGCGAUAUGUAGGCCAUAACAUUGAGAAAAUACCCAGCAGAGAUGUCGUUGGCCACUUGGGUUUGCUUUGUAGGGGCACUUCAAAGUUCUGUUGUUGCAAUCUUCGCAGAACGCCACCACCCUCAUGCUUGGUCCCUUGGUU
rnacentral:lncRNA from 1 species